rnacentral:rRNA from 1 species
GACGAACGCCGGCGGCGUGCUUAACACAUGCAAGUCGAACGGAAAGGCCCUGCUUGCAGGGUGCUCGAGUGGCGAACGGGUGAGUAACACGUGGGUGAUCUGCCCCUUACUUUGGGAUAAGCCUGGGAAACUGGGUCUAAUACUGGAUAGGACCAUGCUGUAGGUGGUGUGGUGGAAAGAUUAGUUUCGGUAAGGGAUGAGCUCGCGGCCUAUCAGCUUGUUGGUGGGGUAAUGGCCUACCAAGGCGUCGACGGGUAGCCGGCCUGAGAGGGUGGACGGCCACAUUGGGACUGAGAUACGGCCCAGACUCCUACGGGAGGCAGCAGUGGGGAAUAUUGCACAAUGGGCGCAAGCCUGAUGCAGCGACGCCGCGUGGGGGAUGACGGCCUUCGGGUUGUAAACUCCUUUCAGCCAUGACGAAGCCCUUGUGGUGACGGUAGUGGUAGAAGAAGCACCGGCUAACUACGUG